UUUCCACGUGGCAUUGUAUUAGCCCGCCACAAGAAUUUAUCCCGCCUAAAUUACUUAAGUGAUUUUCCCAAAUUACCCUUGUGCCUCUUAUUCAUCCGUUAUCAUCGGGAGACAGCAACUUAUCAAUUUGAAACCCUAAUUCAGUCGCUCAUCAAUCGCUGGCUCCCUUUCUCUUUGGUUAAAACCACCAUUGCUACCUGUUUCUCUACUCAAGAAAAUUGUAGCAUCUCAACGAAAGAACACCAUUUAUGACGACUAAAGACUUACACACACAAUUUGGUUCUUAAAAUUUCUGAUUUCCAAAUCCCUUGGCGUUAACGGUUGAUUUGAUCUCCAUUUCGAAAGACGGACGAGGAGGAGAAAAGGGUAUGCUUCAAACCCUAAAACAAUAUGAAGGUUACAUGUAUGCCAAGUGUUUGUGAAAAUGCUUAAAUGAAAUACAACUAUUUAAGAUAGUGAAGAAAACAAGCAAAGGUUGAAAAGAGAACGUCCAGAUGAUAUACCAACACACAAACCAAUACCUGCUUCUAACAAGUCUAUGGAUGAUCAUCUUUCUCAUUGCAAGAACCAGAGAGCAUAUGAUAAAAACAGGCUUUGUCGAGGUUAUUAUCCACCAAGUAAACCUUGCUUUGUUAAUACUUUGAUAUGAUGCUUCAUUGUAGUGUUCCUUUUUCUAUUAUAUUUCUGAUCAUGUUUUUAUCCACUGUUAACUUAUAAGAUAUAGAGACGAAGCUGUGGAAACUAUUGUGUCAUUUAUAUUUUUUAAAUGGUAUUACCUAAUAUAUCACAUAAUGAACUCUUUUAGUGCAAAUUACAAAAAUAUAACUCUCAUGUUGCAUAACAAAAAGAAAGAUAAAAGUGAUUCACGCUCAUCUAUUUAAUCAUAUGGUUUUUUUUUACCUCUGAUAACAUGAUAAUAACAAGACAGGGAACGAAAAUACAACUCUGAAAAAGUAGUAGAAUGAAAGGGAAAUGAGAUUACAGGGCUGAAAAGAAAAAAAGAAAAAAAGGUGUGGAGAGGCAAGUUUGUUAAAGGGCAAAUUGGUAAUCUUUACCAAAAGAAAAUUGAUCCAGGUUUGUAAGGGAGUUUUCCAUGGAAUAGGAUUAAUGCAAGAAAACAUGAGUUAGUUUAAUUCAGAAGAAACAUGGUCUUUUAGUUGUAAUAGUUGAUAGAUGUGUGAGAUACUAUGAUGGAUGUGUUUCAUUCGGCUUCAUUAUAAGUCUUAAAGCCAAUUGUUUUUUAUGGAAUUUGGCAAAAAAUUCUUCUUGGUUGAUUAAGGACUUAAUGAAGAUCAUAUGAUUUUCCAAA